GCUUACGGCCAUAUCACGCUGAGAGCACCGGUUCUCGUCCGAUCACCGAAGUUAAGCAACGUCGAGCCUAGUGAGCAUUUAGAUGACCAAUUAGUAGGCCUAGAUACUGUAAGCA
rnacentral:rRNA from 1 species